UAGCUAGUUGGUGAGGUAACGGCUUACCAAGGCGACGAUCUGUAGCGGGUCUGAGAGGAUGAUCCGCCACACUGGAACUGAGACACGGUCCAGACUCCUACGGGAGGCAGCAGUGGGGAAUUUUGGACAAUGGGGGCAACCCUGAUCCAGCCAUGCCGCGUGAGUGAAGAAGGCCUUCGGGUUGUAAAGCUCUUUCGGCCGGGAAGAAAUCGCAUGGGCCAAUACCCUGUGUGGAUGACGGUACCGGAAUAAGAAGCACCGGCUAACUACGUGCCAGCAGCCGCGGUAAUACGUAGGGUGCGAGCGUUAAUCGGAAUUACUGGGCGUAAAGCGUGCGCAGGCGGUUUUGUAAGACAGGCGUGAAAUCCCCGGGCUCAACCUGGGAACUGCGUUUGUGACUGCAAGGCUAGAGUACGGCAGAGGGGGGUGGAAUUCCACGUGUAGCAGUGAAAUGCGUAGAGAUGUGGAGGAACACCAAUGGCGAAGGCAGCCCCCUGGGUCGAUACUGACGCUCAUGCACGAAAGCGUGGGUAGCAAACAGGAUUAGAUACCCUGGUAGUCCACGCCCUAAACUAUGUCAACUAGGUGUUGGGUGGGUAAAACCAUUUAGUACCGUAGCUAACGCGUGAAGUUGACCGCCUGGGGAGUACGGCCGCAAGGUUAAAACUCAAAGGAAUUGACGGGGACCCGCACAAGCGGUGGAUGAUGUGGAUUAAUUCGAUGCAACGCGAAAAACCUUACCUACCCUUGACAUGCCAGGAACUUGCCAGAGAUGGCUUGGUGCCCGAAAGGGAGCCUGGACACAGGUGCUGCAUGGCUGUCGUCAGCUCGUGUCGUGAGAUGUUGGGUUAAGUCCCGCAACGAGCGCAACCCUUGUUGUUAAUUGCCAUCAUUUAGUUGGGCACUUUAGCGAGACUGCCGGUGACAAACCGGAGGAAGGUGGGGAUGACGUCAAGUCCUCAUGGCCCUUAUGGGUAGGGCUUCACACGUCAUACAAUGGUCGGUACAGAGGGUCGCCAAGCCGCGAGGUGGAGCCAAUCCCAGAAAGCCGAUCGUAGUCCGGAUUGCAGGCUGCAACUCGCCUGCAUGAAGUCGGAAUCGCUAGUAAUCGUGGAUCAGCAUGUCACGGUGAAUACGUUCCCGGGUCUUGUACACACCGCCCGUCACACCAUGGGAGCGGGUUCCGCCAGAAGUAGGUAGCCUAACCGCAAGGAGGGCGCUUACCACGGCGGGGUUCGUGACUGGGGUGAAGUCGAAACAAGGUAGCCGUAGGGGAACCUGCGGCUG
rnacentral:rRNA from 1 species